rnacentral:lncRNA from 1 species
CUUGGUCAAAAGAUUUGACUUAUGAUAAAAUUAAAGAAAAAUUUUAGAGUGCUUCUGGUGAAAUCGAAUGGUGGAAACAAAAGAAGUACCAUGAAAUACUUAAGGAGAAGUACCAAUUUGGUGGGACAAAGUACGAAAAAUAGUGAAAAAUUACUAUGAUGCCUUUUAAUUAUGUGUAAAUCUAUUUAAUUUUUUUAAAGAAGGAUAAGAAAGGAAAGUAGCUGCAAGUACCACUGGUAGUUUAAAAGUAUUGUAAAAAGCUCAAAAUUUAAAUAGAUCGUAAUUUGAAGCAUAAUUUUUUUCUAAGAAGAGAUGCUAAGGUGUCUGUCUCUCUAUCUGGAGGGUCUCUAUCUGGAGGGACUAAUCAGCACGCGCCCGCCAACAACUCUUCCAGGCACGAUUUCUAACCAACCCUUUCCUUCCCCCG